UACGAAGGGAGCUAGCGUUGUUCGGAAUUACUGGGCGUAAAGGGCGCGUAGGCGGCGCCAUAAGUCAGAUGUGAAAGCCCCGGGCUUAACCUGGGAACUGCAUUUGAUACUGUGGUGCUAGAGUGAGAAAGAGGAGAGUGGAAUUGCGAGUGUAGAGGUGAAAUUCGUAGAUAUUCGCAGGAACACCAGUGGCGAAGGCGACUCUCUGGUUCUUAACUGACGCUGAGGCGCGAAAGCGUGGGGAGCAAACAGG
rnacentral:rRNA from 1 species